GAUGAACGCUGGCGGCGUGCCUAAUACAUGCAAGUCGAGCGAAUGGAUUAAGAGCUUGCUCUUAUGAAGUUAGCGGCGGACGGGUGAGUAACACGUGGGUAACCUGCCCAUAAGACUGGGAUAACUCCGGGAAACCGGGGCUAAUACCGGAUAAUAUUUUGAACUGCAUGGUUCAAAAUUGAAAGGCGGCUUCGGCUGUCACUUAUGGAUGGACCCGCCUCGCAUUAGCUAGUUGGUGAGGUAACGGCUCACCAAGGCAACGAUGCGUAGCCGACCUGAGAGGGUGAUCGGCCACACUGGGACUGAGACACGGCCCAGACUCCUACGGGAGGCAGCAGUAGGGAAUCUUCCGCAAUGGACGAAAGUCUGACGGAGCAACGCCGCGUGAGUGAUGAAGGCUUUCGGGUCGUAAAACUCAGUUGUUAGGGAAGAACAAGUGCUAGUUGAAUAAGCUGGCACCUUGACGGUACCUAACCAGAAAGCCACGGCUAACUACGUGCCAGCCGCCGCGGUAA
rnacentral:rRNA from 1 species